AUGGUUGUUAACUGCCGUGUGACUUCUGGGAAUCAAGGCCGAGUCCUCUGCAAGAAUACUGCUGCCCAUGCAGGUACCAUUGCUCCAUGUGCACUCACUGUGGUGGCUCAGAACACUGGUCUGGGGCCCAAGAAGAAUCUUUUCCAGGCCUUAGGCAUUACCAUGAAAACCUCCAGGGGCACCAUUGAAAUUUUGAGUGAUGUGCAGCUGAUAAAGACUGGAGACAAAGUGGGAGCCAGUGAAGCCACACUGCUGAACAUGCUGAACAUCUCCCCUUUCUCCUUUGGGGUGAUCAUACAGCAGGUGUUUGACAAUGACAGCAUCUACAACCCAGAAGUGCUUGACAUCACAGAGGAAACUGCAUUCUCAUUUCCUGGAGGGUGUCUGCAAGGUGGCCAGGGUUUGUCUGCAGAUUGGUUACCCAACCGUUCCCUCAGUCCCACAUUCUAUCAUGAGUGGGUACAAGCGUGUCCUGGCUUUGUCUGGGGAGACUGAUUAUACCUUCCCACUUGUUGAAAAGGUCAAGGCCUUCUUGGCUGAUCCAUCUCAUUUGUGGCUGCUGCCCCUGUAGUUGGUGCUGCUGCUGCUGCUGUUGUUGCUGCUUCUGCUGCUGCCACCACUGCUGCUCCUGCUGCAGCCCCAGCCAUGGUUGAAGCUAAGGAAGAGUCAGAGGAGUCAGAUGAGGAUAUGGGAUUUUAUCUCUUUGACUAA